UACGUAGGGGGCAAGCGUUAUCCGGACUUACUGGGUGUAAAGGGAGCGUAGACGGCAUAGCAAGUCUGAAGUGAAAGCCCGUGGCUCAACCGCGGAACUGCUUUGGAAACUGUUAAGCUGGAGUACUGGAGAGGCAAGCGGAAUUCCUAGUGUAGCGGUGAAAUGCGUAGAUAUUAGGAGGAACACCAGUGGCGAAGGCGGCUUGCUGGACAGAGACUGACGUUGAGGCUCGAAAGCGUGGGGAGCAAACAGG
rnacentral:rRNA from 1 species